GACGUAGGGCGCGAGCGUUGUCCGGAUUUAUUGGGCGUAAAGAGCUCGUAGGCGGCUUGUCGCGUCGACUGUGAAAACCCGUGGCUCAACCAUGUGGUCUGCAGUCGAUACGGGCAGGCUAGAAUUCGGUAGGGGAGACUGGAAUUCCUGGUGUAGCGGUGAAAUGCGCAGAUAGUCAGGAGGAACACCCGGUGGCGAAGGCGGGUCUCUGGGCCGAUAUUGACGCUGAGGAGCGAAAGCGUGGGGAGCGAACAGG
rnacentral:rRNA from 1 species